rnacentral:lncRNA from 1 species
AUACUCGCAGUAAUUCCCAUAGCUCGCCAUUGAUCAGCUUUAUGAAGAAUCGUAGUUAUAGACAAUAUGGAUAGAGGGGUAAUCCAGUUUGUGUGUUGUGUGUAUUGUUUUGUGAGCAUUCAAUGGAUAGAACUAGAAAGAGUGUGACCUUUUCCUUUUUUUUUUCAGUUGCUGCCCAUAUUCUCAGCACUAUUUUCUUCCUUCUUUUCCUCAGUUUUUUUGUUAAGAAAUGAAUAUUAUGAUGUUGCCGGGAUGCACUUUCAUUUUUGUUCCAUUACAUUGUGUUUUAUUCAUAUCCUAAACAAAUAAAUGUAAACAAGAAAAUCAAAUGAGACUUCAAAGAGUCUGUUCCUUUUAAAGCAAGGGAAAAAAAGGACAUGUUUGUUUACUUCCACAGCUGGGUAGAUUCAACUCCACCAAAAUUGGCAACAACUUCCCAUUGAAAAAUUCCUUUUAAGCUUGAAUGACAUAAAACUAGAUAUGUUCCAGCUAGAAUGGUACAAGAAAGAAAUCAAAAGAUGAGCACAAUGGGUUAUUAUGACAGCUUUAGAAACCUGGGGUGUAAAAGAGACAUUAAAAUGGAACCGAGGGGAAGACAUUGUAGAACAAGUAAAGAGGAAGCCUCACCAGGAAGGGCAGCUUUGCAAACCCUCUGGCUCUGUACAGGAACGAAUUAUAGAAAGAUGGUUGAACCACUUGACAUUGCUGCCUACCACAGAGAGGGUGGAAGAAACUACAUAACCAAUGGAGGAUGUAAACAUUACACGCUAUUAGAGCAAUGAUGCAAUGAAGAGAAGGGGACUUUGUCUUCCAAUAAUUUAAGAAAAUAAAACCAAAUAAUGCCAGAAUUUGGGUUGAGAAACACCCAAAAGAUAGUGGCCCAAUAUGAAGUAGUCACAAAACUAGUAACAGCCUUGUGGCCAUAGUUGGUGUAGUAUGAGCAAGUGGGGUAUGAAGUAGGUAGGUGAGUAUUGCAAUGAAAUUUCCAGCACUGCUUCCUGAAUUAAGAAAUCACAUACUCAAGUCUUAAUCGUUGUCAUCAUACCGUGUGAGAACCGAGGAAGAAUCUUUGCUCUUAGACUGGAUUUUGUAGUCUUUCUUUAACAAUUACAAGUUAUCUGAAUUCCCUUCAUCCUCCUAUAUAAUAUUGUUUUUGGUCUUGUUCUUGUUGCAUUGUGGCUAGGCAUCUCCAUGGGAGGAAGGAGGAUGAAUCAAGUUCCUUUGUAUGAAUCAAUUUCUCUGCUCUUUUUUUUUUCAAUCCUUGAAUCGAAUCAUUGCUUAGUUCUUGCUUUAAUUUCUCCAUUUUCUGUUGGGUCUUUGAUUGCAGGUUUAGCUCUGCAAGAAAACUGGGAAAUUUAAUUGUGACCUCCAAUCUAAUCGACUCUGCUUUGACUAAAAUUCUUGAGCUUCAAAGAGACCAAACAGCCUUGCCUUCCCCCGUUCAAUACAGAGUUUUUUAUCCAUCUCCCAACUGCACAAUUGUAGCUUUUGUCUCUUCACCUGACUGCACUCAAAACCCUCUUCCUGGACAAGGAGAUUUAGUUCCCUCUCCUCUCUUUGACUUCCUCUGCACCGAAGAAUACAAGUCCGUCUCCAUUAACAGAGCUGCAUUAACCCUCUUUACCUCUCUCCACGAUCAUCUCUCUGGACUAAAAACUCAGGUCAAAAUAUGAUAGUUGUUUUUAUUUUCGUUUCCUUUUUGUUAACAAUUGGGAGACAUGAAACAGCUUGACCAUGAGAUCUCUCUCAUAGAGUCAAACUACCUGAAGAAGAAGAAGACGUUACACAUAUCCAUCUGCGCUGCAUCAUCGCAUUACCCAUUGAUCGGUUGUGAUUCAACUCUUAAUAGGAAGACAGUAGAACUGGUGUUGGUAUCUGUUUUUAGAUCAGCUUAUAUGUAUCUUGUUGCUAAAAAGGGAAUGUUUAGAAGUGAGAUUAAUGGGAUUAUUCUGACAUGGAUUUCAUAUGGUUACCUGUUUUGCAGUUGACUGUGAUUGAAGGUCGAUUAAUCAUUACUGGGUACUCGAUGGGAGGAUCCGUUGCUUCUCUCUUCACCUUAUGCCUGUUAGAAGUCAUCAAUUUAUCAAAACCCAAAUGCCGCCCCAUUUGUAUCACCUUUGGUUCACCCCUCAUAGGCGACUUUGGCCUCCAACACUCCAAUUGGAAUUCUUUCUUCUUGCAUGUAGUGUCCAACCAAGAUCUAGUCCCCGGACUCUUCCUCCCAUCCGACAGAUCUCCUCCCACAUCCUCCCAUUCACAAACUACUGGUUACAAGCCCUUUGGGACAUAUCUCUUGUGCUCUGAACUUGGUUGUGCUUGUUUUGACAACUCUGAUUUAAUUUUGGAAUUGCUGAAAGUCAUAUCAUCAGAGGUUGCCAGAGGAUUGCGGGAUGUUGAUUACAGGAAGAUUUUAAGAAACCUCAAGGAGAGGGCAAUCUGCAAGGGACUUCCGCAGGUGGGUGAAAGGUUUGCAAAUCCAUUUUCAGCUGGGAUCAUCAUGGAACUUGAGACGAUUGGAUUUAAUGAAACAAAGGUAAACAGCUUUCUCCCAUCUACUGAUGUUAUGGAACAUGGUUUACACAUCAUUAAAUACUGCAACAACUGCCCUAUUUAGAUUUAGGGCAAUGAUGAAAAUAUCAGUAAUCACGGAUAUAUCAGUAUUUCGAUUUUACGGAUAUAUCGGAUAUAUCGGAGAUAUAUCGGUAGAUAUUUUGAAAAAAAAUAUCGGCAAGCUUAAAAUUGUUAAAAACUCAUGAAAAUAUAAGAAAAUCUCAUAAUAAUAUAAUUAAAAGUAUAAUAGACAUUUUAAAGUUAUUUUAUUGAAAAUUUUGAUAUAUGUAUAACAUGAUUUAUCAUAUUUGAUAAUAAUAUCGUAUGCGUCGAUAAAAAUAUGAAUUUUAUAAGUGUACAUUUAUUAUUAAAUUACACCUAAUAUUAUGAUAUCUGAUUAUAAUAUGUCUAAUUUUAAAAUAUAUAUUAGUAUUAAAAUAUGAUCCAUUUAAUUCAAUUGUAUUAAACAAUAUAAAAUAAAUAAUGAUAUAUAUAUAUAUAUAUAUAAUUUUUUAAUAUUUAAUUAAUUAUUAAUGAUAUUAAAAACAUUAUGAAGAAAAUUAUAUAAUUUUUUAAUUUUUGGUAAUUAAUUAAAAGACUUUGCAUUUAAUUAUAAAUUAAUUAUAAUUAAUUUACUCUUUAAAAUAUUCUUAUAUUUUCUUUAUAUAAUGAAUUUAAGUAUAUAUAUAGUUGUUGCAUAUUAUAUAUUAAAGGACAACUUAGCCCAAGUGGUAAGCGAGUGAACCCCAAUGUGAGGCAUUGUAGCACGUGCACUGUAGCAUCACUGUAGCGACUCUGACUUUCGUUGACCCGCAUUGACUACACGAUAUAUCGGAGAAAAAUCACUGAUUUAUCGCCAAAUCACCAAUAAAUCGCCGAUUUCUCGCGAUAAAUACCAAAAUAUAGUGUCGAAACCCUUCGAUACACGAUUUUUCGGCGCAUUUUCUUACUUGGAUUUACCUUUUUGUUCUUUGGGAUCUUCCAUGACUCAUUUUUUAAUGCCAUUUUAUUUUCCUUUUUGUUUCUAAAUUUUUAAAAAAUCGUUUUCACUUCUUUUUUUUAAGAAAAUUUUGGCAAAUUUUGAAAAUAUAAUAUUAGUGUUUUCACUUCUUUCUUUUUUUUUUUUUUCUUUUUUUUUUUAAACUCAAUUUUCUAAAAAAUGAAAAUAGAAAAACAUUGUCUAAACAUGUUUGUAAACUUAAUUUUAUUUUUUUAUAAAUGAAAAAAAAAAUCUAAAUGAGUAAGGCUUUAUUAAUUUUAAUUUUUUUCUUUUCCUUAUAUUUUCUUAUUUUAUUCCAAAUUUUCUUGCAACCAAACAUAAUCUAAAUGUUUACAACUUUUAUUGUAAGGAAUGAAUGACACUACUUUGUGAACUUUUAUGAUAAUAUUUUGAAUCAUAAAUUGUGUUUUUUUUAGUAAUAUCAAUUUUAUUACCAAUGACUUAAUUGUUAAUAACAAAAUAUAAUAUUUAUAAAUAUUUUUAUUCUCAACAGGCUACAAUUUUUACUCUUGUGAUAAAAAAAAUUUUGUCAUAAAUUACACAUUAUGAUGAGUUUUUCUAUUUUCCUUAUCAGCCAAUUCAACAAAUAUCAUAUAUAUUGUAAUGGCUAACAAAUUUUCACAUAAAUUUUUUAUAAGAUAAAGUAGAAUGGAAUUAUUCAAUUUCAAAAAAAAAAAAAAUGGUACCUAAUGAAAAAGAUAAAAUAUAUAGAUCAUCUCGAAGAAAUCAGGAAAGAUAAAUGAUGAGACCAUAUAUAGGACCCUUGAUGGAGACUAUUUUAAUUGAAGUGGUGUGCUCCUUCCGACUCAGAACAUGUUCAGCAUUGCACACAAACUAACAUCGUCGAUCUUGAGUAUGAAAAAGGUGAUUAGAUUCCAAGGUUGUCGUUUGUCCCAACUCCUCAUAUUAGAGGUGAUGCUCAAGCUAACGUGCCUCGCAGUUGAGCCCCGGCCAAUCGGUCUAAUAUGCUUUUCCAAUGGUGAGUUUCACUGCCACCAUGUAUUACAUUAAUUCCGAUAGCGCACAAGUUGUGUUUGUGCUAUUGCUUUUUGCCCUCACAAACAUAUACACAAGAGACAUUCAGACCAGAUCUGUUCUACCAUCCUCUAGGAAAGCAUUGUAGGUCAUUUGAAAUUGGGAUUUCAGCACCAGAGUCAAAUUGCCUUCCUUCCUGAAAGAUGAGCAUUUUUUAUACUCUUACAUCGGCUUUUAUGGAAAUGAAAUCAGCUUCUCAUUCUGUUACAUUUUUCAAUUUUGCUGCCUAUAACUGCUCACUGCCUGUUUGUGAGACAUUAUCCAGAUUUUCCCUGAUCAAUUAUAGAGAGGUCAUUGGACUCAUCCAUGAUUGGAAUUUCCUGUUAUCAUUAUUUGCAAAUCAUCAACCAUUUGUCAUGAUAUCUUAAGUUAAGCUGAGCACGAAUUUCAGCUAAGAUCCUCAGAACUAGAAAUAUGCACUGCAGGUAUUACUUGAUAUGUGAAUAUCCAAUACAAUAUUUUUUUACUAAGAGGAAUACGAAUUUGAAACACUUUCCAAUAAUUUAUCAAGUCAUAUUUUCGUGCUGUCGUGAUACAUGUGUCUACUGUAUGCAUGGCUUUUCUUUUCUACACAUGCCUUUAUCUUUGCACAUGACUCUUUUGAUACACGCCAGCAUCAAGGCAAUUGCCUAAAUCUAAAUCACAUCCUUUGUGUCACGUCUUCCUUGUUACCACGGUCCUCUUGUACACCAUGGUCCCUUAAUGUAACUUGUGCCACAAGCCCUUUGUGCAUGAAUUCAAAUUGUUCAAUCAUUUCGCCAUUUACACCUUUUAAGGUCCAAUAAGCGUAUACAAGAGACUACACUCAUUCUAGAUGAUAAAGUACAUUCAACUAACUACUCUUGCUAAUGAGCAUAUCCAAGUCAAUACAUAAGAUUAAUUAUUACAUAUGGUAAUUGAAACCCUGUUUAAAUAAAUAGUGACACAAAUAUAAAAAAUAUAUAUAUUUAAAAAUAAAUAAAUAACAAUUUAGAGAAUUUCAUAACUUAGUAUCAAACCUAUUGUAGGAAAGAGUAUUAUACAAUGUAGGGUUUAGGAUCAAAGUUAACCUAAGAUCAAUUUUAAGUUUUAAGACCAAUUCAAAUUCAAAACUAAGGUUUUAAGUUUCAAAAAUAUAUCUCUUAAACCAAUUAAAUAGAAAAAAGAAAAUUACAAAGAAAAUUUCUUCCUCAUCGGUUUCUUUUAUCUUGAAAACUAAAGGAAAUAUAUAUCAAUAUUUGAGAUGGAAAUUCAUAAUCUUAGAAACACAAAGAACAAAGAGAGUAUGAAGAGACCAUACCAUGAGAGAUUUUCCAAAAGGUUGGUAAACCAUGGUAAUCACCUUUGAGUUUUGCUGAGAAAAACAAACCUUAAUUUUUAUUUUUAUUUUUUUAUCAUUUUUUCUCUUGUGGUGUACAUUUAAGAAAAACAAAUCUUAAAAAAAAAAAAAAAAAAACCAAAUAAUGCCAGAAUUUGGGUUGAGAAACACCCAAAAGAUAGUGGCCCAAUACAUGUGCCUAAGAAAAUCUUCAUGAGCCGAUAAACAUAGUCACAAAACUAGUAACAGCCUUGUAGCCAUAGUUGGUGUAGUAUGAGCAAGUGGGGUAUGAAGUAGGUAGGUGAGUAUUGCAAUGAAAUUUCCAGCACUGCUUCCUGAAUUAAGAAAUCACAUACCCAAGUCUUAGUCGUCGUCGUCGUACCGUGUGAGAACCGGGAAGAAUCUUUGCUCGUAGAGUGGCUUUUGUAGUCUUUCUUUAACAAUUACAAGUUAUCUGAAUUCCCUUCAUCCUCCUAUAUAAUAUUGUUUUUGGUCUUGUUCUUGUUGCAUUGUGGCUAGGCAUCUCCAUGGAAGGAAGGAGGAUGAAUCAAGUUCCUUUGUAUGAAUCAAUUUCUCUGCUCUUUUUCUUUUCAAUCCGUGAAUCGAAUCAUUGCUUAGUUCUUGCUUUAAUUUCUCCAUUUUCUGUUGGGUCUUUGACUGCAGGUUUAGCUCUGCAAGAGAACUGGGAAAUUUAAUGGUGACCUCCAAUCUAAUCGACUCUGCUUUGACUAAAAUUCUUGAGCUUCAAAGAGACCAAACAGCCUUGCUUUCCUCCGUUCAAUACAGAGUUUUUUAUCCAUCUCCCAAGUGCACAAUUGUAGCUUUUGUCUCUUCACCUGACUGCACUCAAAACCCUCUUCCUGGACAAGGAGAUUUAGUUCCGUCUCCUCUCUUUGACUUCCUCUGCACCGAAGAAUACAAGUCCGUCUCCAUUAACAGAGCUGCAUUAACCCUCUUUACCUCUUUCCACGAUCAUCUCUCUGGACUAAAAACUCAGGUCAAAAUAUGAUAGUUGUUUUUAUUUUCGUUUCCUUUUUGUUAACAAUUGUGAGACAUGAAACAGCUUGACCAUGAGAUCUCUCUCAUAGAGUCAAACUACCUGAAGAAGAAGAAGACGUUACACAUAUCCAUCUGCGUUGCAUCAUCGCAUUACCCAUUGAUCGGUUGUGAUUCAACUCUUAAUAGGAAGACAGUAGAACUGGUGUUGGUAUCUGUUUUUAGAUCAGCUUAUAUGUAUCUUGUUUCUAAAAAAGGUAAGUUUAGAAGUGAGAUUAAUGGGAUUAUUCUGACAUGGAUUCCAUAUGGUUACCUGUUUUGCAGUUGACUCAGAUUGAAGGUCAAUUAAUCAUCACUGGGCACUCCCUGGGAGGAUCCGUUGCUUCUCUCUUCACCUUAUGCCUGCUAGAUGGAAAUUUAUUAAAACCCAACUGCCGCCCCUUUUGUAUCACCUUUGGUUCACCCCUCAUCGGCGGCUUUGGCCUCCAACACUCCAUAUGGAAUUCUUUCUUCCUGCAUGUAGUGUCUAACCAAGACCCAGUCCCCGGUCUCUUCCUCCCAUCUGGCAGAGGCAGAUCUACGCCCACAUCCUCCCAUUCACAAACUACCGGUUACAAGCCCUUUGGGACAUAUCUCUUGUGCUCUGAACUUGGUUGUGCUUGUUUGGAAAAGCCUGAUUUAAUUUUGGGAUUGCUGAAAGUCAGAUCAUCCGAGGUUGCCGGAGGAUUGCAGGAUGUUGAUUAUGGGGAGAUUUUAAGAAACCUCAAGGAGAGGGCAAUCUGCAAGGGACUUCAGCAGGUGGGUGAAAGGUUUGCAGAUCCUUUUACAGCUGGGAUCAUCAUGGACCUUGAGAUAAUUGGAUUUGAUCAAACAAAGGUAAACAGCUAGCUUUCUCCCAUCUAAUGAUGUUAUGAAACAUGGUUUACACUUCACCAAAUACUGCAACAACUGCCCUAUUUAGAUUUGCCGUCUUGUUCUUUGGGAUCUUCCAUAACUAGACUCAUUUUUUAAUUUCAUGGCAGCUGCUGCAGCAUAACAUUGAUAUCGAGACUGUGAUAAGCACAAUGGAAGAGGAAGCCAGAAACCCAACCAAAAAAAAUAAAGCUUUCGAUGCCAAGAUUCUGAAUCACAAAAAAAAAGACAUGGCCGGGCUAGAAUGGUAUAAGAAGAAAUCAAAAGAUCUGAACAAGGGUUACUACGACUGCUUCAAAAACCAGGGGUCAAAAAGGGACAUUAAAAUUGAACAGUAUGGGGGACACCUCACAUUAUACUGGAAAGACAUGGUUGCACAAGUACAGAGGAAGCCCCAGAAGGAAGGAGCAACAUUUCGAACCCGUUGGCUCUAUGCAGGGACGGUUUAUAGAAGAAUGGUUGAACCACUGGACAUUGCUGCCUUCUACGUAGAGGGUGGAACAGACUACAUGAAGAAUGAAAGAUCUCUUCAUUACAAGCUGUUGCAGCAAUGGUAUGAGGAAGAUGUGAAACCCCCCUCUAAGGAUAAGCUUGAUUCCAAGAAGCAAAAGGUGUCUGGUAUCCUAACUGAGGAUUCUUGCUUUUGGGCACAUGUGGAGGAGGCUAUCUUGUCAUGCGAAUUGCUUAAGAGUGAAAACUGUACUCUUGAGCAGGAAAAAUCAUCAUGGGAUAAUCUGGUUAAGUUCGAGGAGUAUGUAAUGGAACAGAUUAACAACUAUGCAGUGUCCCCUGAGAUUUUCUUGGGGGAAAGCAGCUUCAUGAAAUGGUGGGGACUGUAUGAGGGCUACAUAUAUGCUCGCAGUAAUUCCCAUAGGUCACCAUUGAUCAGCUUUAUGAAGAACGGUAGUUAUACAGAGUAUCGUUAGAGGGGUAAUCCAGUUUGUGUGUUGUGUGUAUUGUUUUGUGAGCAUUCAAUGGAUAGAACUAGAAAGAGUGUGACCUUUUUCCUUUUUUUCUUCUAGUUGCUGCCCAUAUUCUCAGCACUAUUUUCUUCCUUCUUUUCCUCAGUUUUUUCUUAAGAAAUGAAUAUUAUGAUGUUGCUGGGAUGCACUUUCAUUUUUGUUCCAUUACAUUGUGUUUUAUUCAUAUCCUAAACAAAUAAAUGUAAACAAGAAAAUCAAAUAAGACUUCAAAGAGUCUGUUCCUUUUAAAGCAAGGGAAAAAAAGGACAUGUUUGUUUACUUCCACAGCUGGGUAGAUUCAACUCCACCAAAAUUGGCAACAACUUCCCAUUGAAAAAUUCCUUCUAAGCUUGAAU